rnacentral:hammerhead_ribozyme from 1 species
GCACUGCUGAAUAGUCCCAUAAUAGGACGAAACGGCCGUCCCUGUGU